GUGAAGUGAUGAAUCAGUUUAUCCAUUCUCUGAGCGGCCAUCUUGUCUGGUCAUCACCUCUGCUCCCGUUCUGGGGGCGGGGCCUCUCCGCCGUGGUACCGGCGUUGUACCGGCGUUCUGCCAGACAGCGACCCGAAACUGCACGGAGAGUGAGACUUGACAUGACCGCUGCCGAGACGAGUUCCUGCUCUGAUCAC